rnacentral:rRNA from 1 species
ACGAAUCCUUUCGGGGAUUAGUGGCGGACGGGUGAGUAACGCGUGAGAAUCUACCAAAAGGACUGGGACAACCACUGGAAACGGUGGCUAAUACCGGAUGAGCCGCAACGUAAAAGAGGAAACUCGCCUUUUGAAGAGCUCGCGUCUGAUUAGCUAGUUGGUGAGGUAAAGGCUCACCAAGGCGGCGAUCAGUAGCUGGUCUGAGAGGAUGACCAGCCACACUGGGACUGAGACACGGCCCAGACUCCUACGGGAGGCAGCAGUGGGGAAUUUUCCGCAAUGGGCGAAAGCCUGACGGAGCAAGACCGCGUGAGGGAGGAAGGCUCUUGGGUUGUAAACCUCUUUUGUCAGGGAAGAACACAAUGACGGUACCUGAAGAAUCAGCAUCGGCUAACUCCGUGCCAGCAGCCGCGGUAAUACGGAGGAUGCAAGCGUUAUCCGGAAUUAUUGGGCGUAAAGCGUCCGCAGGUGGCACUUCAAGUCUGCUGUCAAAGACCGGGGCUUAACCCUGGAAAGGCAGUGGAAACUGAAGCGCUAGAGUGUGGCAGGGGUAGAGGGAAUUCCCGGUGUAGCGGUGAAAUGCGUAGAGAUCGGGAAGAACAUCGGUGGCGAAAGCGCUCUACUGGGCCACAACUGACACUCAGGGACGAAAGCUAGGGGAGCGAAUGGGAUUAGAUAC